CAGCAGCCGCGGUAAUACGUAGGUGGCAAGCGUUGUCCGGAAUUAUUGGGCGUAAAGGGCUCGCAGGCGGUUUCUUAAGUCUGAUGUGAAAGCCCCCGGCUCAACCGGGGAGGGUCAUUGGAAACUGGGAAACUUGAGUGCAGAAGAGGAGAGUGGAAUUCCACGUGUAGCGGUGAAAUGCGUAGAGAUGUGGAGGAACACCAGUGGCGAAGGCGACUCUCUGGUCUGUAACUGACGCUGAGGAGCGAAAGCGUGGGGAGCGAACAGGAUUAGAUACCCCUGUAGUCCCUGUCUCUUAUCC
rnacentral:rRNA from 1 species